GGCUCAGAACGAACGCUGGCGGCGUGCCUAACACAUGCAAGUCGAGCGAGAAAGCCCGCAAGGGUGAGUAAAGCGGCGCACGGGUGCGUAACACGUGGGUAAUCUGCCCUGGAGUCCGGAAUAACUCGCCGAAAGGCGUGCUAAUGCCGGAUAAGACCACGGGAGCCUCGGCUCCUGCGGGAAAAGGUGGCCUCUGUACACAAGCUACUUCUCCAGGAUGAGCCCGCGGCCCAUCAGCUAGUUGGCGGGGUAAUGGCCCACCAAGGCUACGACGGGUAGCUGGUCUGAGAGGACGAUCAGCCACACUGGAACUGAGACACGGUCCAGACUCCUACGGGAGGCAGCAGUGGGAAUCUUGCGCAAUGGGCGAAAGCCUGACGCAGCAACGCCGCGUGUGUGAUGAAGGUCUUCGGAUCGUAAAGCACUGUCGCGAGGGACGAAUAAGGGUCGGGAUAAUACCCCGGUCCGAUGACGGUACCUCGAGAGGAAGCACCGGCUAACUCUGUGCCAGCAGCCGCGGUAAUACAGAGGGUGCAAGCGUUGUUCGGAAUUAUUGGGCGUAAAGCGCGUGUAGGCUGCUCAGCCAGUCAGGUGUGAAAGCCCUCGGCUUAACCGAGGAAGUGCGCCUGAAACUACUGAGCUUGAGUACCGGAGAGGGCGGUGGAAUUCCCGGUGUAGAGGUGAAAUUCGUAGAUAUCGGGAGGAACACCAGCGGCGAAGGCGACCGCCUGGACGGCUACUGACGCUGAGACGCGAAAGCGUGGGGAGCAAACAGGAUUAGAUACCCUGGUAGUCCACGCUGUAAACGAUGAGCGCUAGGUGUUGUGGGUGUUGACCCCCGCAGUGCCGCAGCUAACGCAUUAAGCGCUCCGCC
rnacentral:rRNA from 1 species